UAAUGCACUGAGAAGGCAUCACCACCACUGCAACCACCUGGAAGUGAUAUUGGUUUCACCUGCUGAGCUCACCUGGUCCUACAGGGGAGGCGUUUGUGCUUUUGCUUUUAAAAUAGCCACUUCACCCAGGGGGUUGCUUUUUCUUCUUUAAGGCAUAGGAUUAAUGUGCUGUCUGGAUGGAUUUAAUGAUAUGUCCUCUUUUAUCUACUGGCAGAGGUGGCCGAAGGUGAAGAUGUUAAGAAUCACAGGUUUUCACAUCUCGUCCCGAGGAUGCUCCUGCAGCUCCAGCUCCCUCAGCACGCUCCGCCGCUUCCCCACGCUGAGGGGAUUCACGGCUUGCUCGUAUCGAAAGAGAAUAAUCACACGUUCUUGGGCUUUUCUCAUCUGUUCACUGGACAGAAAUUUCAAGCAACAGUUCUUGGAAAACAGAUGGAGAUCAGCCUGGAGUUGUGUAAGGUUCUGGGACUGUGACCAGCAUUGAGAAAUCACUGCCCACCAACUGAGUGCUACACAGAAUCUUUCUGGGAAUAUUCUGGUGCUGGGUAUGAACAAGUCACACACUGGCAUAGAUUUGGCUUCUACUUCUAAAUACAGUUCUAUUUUGAUUUGUUUAUUUUCCAUCUCUGUGUAUGCACACUGACAGUAUCUCACUGGGGAAAAAUAUAUAUAAAAUGGAUUUAUUUUUUGUAAAAACUACUUAAUUUCUACAUGUUAUAUAUAUAGACUUAAUAUUUGUGUGUGUUGUCAAUAUUUUAAAUAUUAUUAAGUUUUCGUAAACCUUUGGCUUUAAAAAAAGAUUUUUUUUUUUCUGAAAGGCAAAAGGUUUAUUUUGAAAUAAUUCAAAGUGCCUUCAAAAAUGUUGAAAAUUUGCUGUCCUGUGUAUAUUGCCGACCUCUGUGGUUUGUUUCUGCUUGAAGAUGCAAGGAGUUUGUUGCUGUUGGUGGUUAAGUGCUUCCAGUGCAUUCAUCUCAGACAGUAUUAACGGGGAAUAAACAAGGUAAACAUCCCAGAGACAUCACUAUUUAUGUGUUCAAAGUUAAUUUUAAAUAAAGAUCCUCUUUCUGUGGUAUCAGAAGUACAGAAAAUCAGAACCACAGGUUUGCUUCAAGUGUGUGUUUAACAAUAUUUUCUUUUCUAAAGCUUUACAAGUUGUUUUAGCACUGACAUGUGUCAGUUCAGUAAAUGGGCAAUGAAAGACACUUUCUUUGAAUGCAGAAAGAUUAGAAACGUGUCUGUGGAAGAAAGUCCACGAGUAAACAAAGGCUGCACGAUUCCCUUGGGAAAACGCACAAGUUACGUCGUGUGUCCUUAGAAACCUCAUGGCGCUGGUCCUGGUUUGAAUCCCAUGUGCUCUGCAGCACUCUUGCUAAUAUUAAUAUUAUCACGUAGAGCUGAGAGGAGAAAGACACCAAAACUGUACAGACAACUAUGCAUAAAAAGAGUAUUAAUAAUUUCCAGGACUUUUUUCCCCAGGUUGAUGAUAAUUUGCUCCACAGAAUUAAGGCUUUUUUUUUUUUUUAAAGAUGUCAGAAUGCUAAAAUGAAAAGUAUGCAAAAUUAUUCCAGUUUGAGAUGUAAAUUAUGCUGCCAGAAAGAUGGGUGAGAUGUGUAAUGGAAGAAUUAGGUCUCUUAGACUAAAGCAGAUUCUGGUAAAUCAUAAAAUAUGUAAGGAGUCUGUGACCAAUCCUGAAUUUGCUAAAAUGAAUAUCAAUGUGAUGAGCAUGAUAACUUCUGCCCUUUUCAAGCUGUGAAUUCCCCUAUCCAGACAAUUCCCAGCAGCAUGGAGCUUGGGAUAAAUAUCGGUCGGAGGUGGAUGUUCCAUUCAGUUCUGAAAACUCUUUACUGUUUUGAAGCUAUUUUCUGCCAAUGCAUUGGACUUGUCAAUACUCUGUCCUCUCACACAUCCUCCAUCUGCCCGAGGAUGGAGAGCAUCCAUUUUUUCCAGGUUCUUGGGCUGUGACUGGAAUCGAGAAGUCACUGUCCACCAUCUGAAUGCUCCACCAAAGGCAUUUGCUCUGGGGAAACAGCAACUGGGAAGUUUUUGCAACUUUUAUAGCAAAAUUUAGUAAAGCUCAAGCUUCUUUUACCAGUCAUUGAAUAAAUUCUUUUUGUCAGUGUUUAUAUAUAUGACAUAUACAUAUAUACACAGAGAUAUGUAUGAAAUCUAACUCUGAACUUUGCUUCAUUUGCUUUUCCCAAAGGCUCUAGAGAGUAUGCUUGCAAUCAUCAACCUUU